GAUGAAUGCUGGCGGCGUGCCUAAUACAUGCAAGUCGAGCGAACGGACGAGAAGCUUGCUUCUCUGAUGUUAGCGGCGGACGGGUGAGUAACACGUGGAUAACCUACCUAUAAGACUGGGAUAACUUCGGGAAACCGGAGCUAAUACCGGAUAAUAUUUUGAACCGCAUGGUUCAAAAGUGAAAGACGGUCUUGCUGUCACUUAUAGAUGGAUCCGCGCUGCAUUAGCUAGUUGGUAAGGUAACGGCCUACCAAGGCAACGAUGCAUAGCCGACCUGAGAGGGUGAUCGGCCACACUGGAACUGAGACACGGUCCAGACUCCUACGGGAGGCAGCAGUAGGGAAUCUUCCGCAAUGGGCGAAAGCCUGACGGAGCAACGCCGCGUGAGUGAUGAAGGUCUUCGGAUCGUAAAACUCUGUUAUUAGGGAAGAACAUAUGUGUAAGUAACUGUGCACAUCUUGACGGUACCUAAUCAGAAAGCCACGGCUAACUACGUG
rnacentral:rRNA from 1 species